CACAGAAUAAAACUAAUAAUAAAAAAAAGAAACUCAAUAUCCACGUGUCCUUUCUUUAUUUGCCUACUCUAUAACUAAUCUAACAAACUUAUAUUCUUCAGUGUGCUAAUCACGUGAGAAAAGUAUUCUAGAAUGGCAUGAGAUGGACAAAAUUCAAUCCUUCUCAUUUGUGAUGAAGAGUCCAGAUUGCUCUGCCUCUUGUUUCUCUUUGACUUUCUUCUUUACAACUCUUCUUUCUAAUUUCUUCUUUCCAUCGAGGUGAAUGGUUUUACACCAAUAUCCCCCCUCAAGUUGGAGGGUAAAUAAAUGACCCCGAACUUGUUCAACAAAUGGCGAUGGGGAACCCCAGACAGUGGUUUGGUAAACAAAUCAGCCAGUUGAUGCUUCGAUGGAACGAAGGGAAGUGUAAUCAGACCAGCGACAACUGUUGUCUCACAAAGUGACAAUCCAACUUAACAUGUUUCGUCCUUUCGUGAAAGAAUAUAUUUUUGGCUAUGCUAAUGGCAGCUUCACUAUCGGAGUUCACUGUGAUAGGGAGGAAUGGAGGAACAGAGAGAUCAGCAAGGACACGUACCAACCAAGUAAUUUCAGCAGUCACAUGGCGCAUAGAACGAUACUUUGCUUCAGCGAAUUAAAGGAAGAUGGAAGCUUGUUUCUUGGAUCUCCAAGAAAUGGGAGCACCACCAAAAGUGAUGAAGCAACCACUGACAGAUCUUCGAGUUUUACGACAAGAGGCCUAAUCGGCGUCGUAGAAAGCUAAUAGAGUAAAGGUGGGAUAUGAGGAGAGCAAAAUUCCUUGACUUGGAUCAUUUCGUAGGUAUCUCAAGACUCGAAGCCCAGCAAGAUAAUGUGAUUCAUAGGGAUGUUGCAUAUGUUGACUGAAUGUCAAUACAACAAAAGACAAAUCAGGCCUAGUGUGCGUUAAAUAGUUGAGCUUCCCAACUAAAUGUCGAUAAAGUGUUGGAUUAGCCAUGGAGGGACUGUCAUCGACAUGAAUUUUGGAAUAUAGAUCAAGCGGUGAAGAUAAACUUGCGUUGAUUGAUGAUGAAUCCCUGUUUUUCUCAGAGGAUUUCCUAUCCUAAAAAAUAGUGAAUGUCUUCGAGAUGCUUGACUCUGAAUUCUGUAUGAAGAAACUGCAUGAUGUGAUUAAUUUCUAAGAUGUCCUCUCCUGUAAUUAGGAUGUCAUCAAUAUAUACAACGAUGAGAGAGUGAGAGAACUAGUAUACCCUUUGAAAGCAAGAGCUCCAGCUAACUUAGAAUACCAUUGUCUAGAUGCAUGUCGCAACCCAUAUAAAGACUUUCUGAGAAGACAAACGUCGUUGGGCAUGAUGGAGGGUGAUACAUCUUUGCUUCGUUGCAUCUUCCGAAUCUUCUUUCCAGGCUAUCCCAGAUCUCCUUGGCAGUCUUGGAUUAGAUUACACUGUCUCCAAUUUCCCGGAAAGUGAAUUCAACAACCAUGAUAUCACCAAUAUCGUUGCAACAAAUCCAUUGGCCAUACUCUACAAUAUCGAGACCUGGAGAUUUGCAUCCUUCAUUGAUGAAGCCAAGCUUUUUCUUGGCUGAGAGUGCUAUCAAACUGCCCUACUCCAUCCUGGAAAUCCCUUCCUGUCAAAGGUAGAGCUGAUGAUAUUCAUUCUUGGCGAAUCCAAAGAGUGCAGAUGAUAGGGAUGAUUGAUGUCGAUCGUGUUGGUCUUCGAAGCACUGGAUGUGUUCAACACCUGAGUUACAACCUCUUCUUAAUCCAUUUUGUAUUACAGAUAAAAAUGAACGAUGUAAAUUUGUGCGAAAUAGAUUGGAUUGAGCUACUGCUUUGAUACAAUGAAAGAAUGAAAAGAAAACGUUUGGGAAUUUUCUAA